CACAGAUGCAAGGUCUCUUGAUGGCAGAAAACCUUAUAACAGACGGGGUUUCUCCGUGUUAGCCAGGAUGGUCUUGAUCUCCUGACCUCGUGAUCCACCUGCCUCAGCCUCCCAAAGUGCUGGGAUUACAGGCGUGAGCCACCGCGCCUGGCCUAUCAGAUGCUUCAGGUGACUACAGCCAGCUCCAGAGGUUCCAAAGAUCUUAAAGAUGUCCCAGAAAAGUUCUAGAGUACUAUCAGAUCUCACACUUUGCCUUGGAAGCUGUCAUUCCCCUCCAUUGGCCCCACAACUGCAGUAUAAUCUUCAGUGACAGGAGGAAAUCGACCUUGUUUGUACAGAAAUCUCAGCAGGAAUAGGCAGAUGCCUGUUUUUGCUGCCAAGGAUGGAGGAUUGGAAUGGGCCCAUUAUAUAUUUUGAGCCUGUGAAGAAAAGUCUCAGGAUAUGUUUUCCCAUUAAAAUACUGUUAUAAACAAUUAGA
rnacentral:lncRNA from 1 species